AGAGAGAGAGAGAUUUUAAACAAAAAAGUUUAGAGAACAGUCCCUCAAUGUUUUGCACCCAAAAUACCAAAAUGUGGACUGGAAAUCCUUGAGGAUUGGGUCAAAAAACAGUAGUGUCAGGAUCUAGCCCAGAAUUUUGAUGUGUGUCAGCACACCUGUCCCUUAUGUGUCUAAUUGUCUUCCUUAUUUAUUUGUGCCGUGUUGCCUUUGGCAGUGCCGAAUCCUUGUCUUGGUUUUGUCUUUGUAUGGUCUUUGUGUGGCUCAGUCUUGGAUUUUGGUUUUGUUUAUGUUUAAUAAAUCUGUUUUUAUUUAGCUAUCCUGCAUUUGGGCCUUUUUAUCCAUGAAGUCACCCUGGUCCCCUGUCAAAAAGAGAGGCCCCCCUGUGCCACUGAAACACACCGACCCAUGCCACUCUGACCCAACAAGACGUGGACUCUGCAAGUUCUCUGAAGGUGUGCUGUGGAAUCUGGCACCAAUAUUGUAGCAACAUUAUCCUGCUGAAAGAGGUGACUGAUAUUACCAAUUAGUGUCAAAAAGUGGUAAAAGGAAGGACAACCUGUGAACAGGUAUGGACUAUGUGUGGCUGGUAGGUGCUUAAGAUUUCAGUUUCACUAAAAAUAUACAGUAUU